AAGGAUUUUAGUCCUACCUUAAGUUCUUCCUUUAUUAAUAAAACAACUCUGAACUUAAGAGCUAUUCAAACAAGGUACAGCCUGUUUGAAACAGGGAACAACCUCAAAAAUAGGGUAACUCCAAAUGACAGGUGUCCAAGUGGGCCUAAAAGCAGCCAACUUUAAAAAAGCGUUACAGCUUCCUCACCAGUCACUUUAAUACCAAAAACACUACAUAACCCUUACCCAGUACUAAAUAACUCUAUACCCCUAUAGAAAUUAUUAUGCUAAAACUAGUAACAUGAAGAAGCCCUUCUCCUAAAUGUACAUGUACGCCAAAAAGAACAAUUCAUUGGCAUUUAACGCUACUGACCCUAAAGCAACAACUAUACAAGAGAAUCUUGCUAACACCAACGUUAACCUAACACAAGAACAUUUCAGGAAAGAUUAAAAGAGGUGGAAGGAACUCGGCAAAUUUUAACCCCGCCUGUUUACCAAAAACAUCGCCUCCUGCAACAUAUAGGAGGUCCAGCCUGCCCAGUGACCAAGUUAAACGGCCGCGGUACCCUAACCGUGAAAGGCGG
rnacentral:rRNA from 1 species